rnacentral:rRNA from 1 species
CCUACGGGAGGCAGCAGUGAGGAAUAUUGGUCAAUGGCCGGAAGGCUGAACCAGCCAAGCCGCGUGAAGGACGAAGGUGCCAAGCAUUGUAAACUUCUUUUGUCAAGGGACAAAAUCAGGCUCGAGAGCCUGACCGAGGGUACUUGAAGAAAAAGCAUCGGCUAACUCCGUGCCAGCAGCCGCGGUAAUACGGGGGAUACGAGCGUUAUCCGGAUUUAUUGGGUUUAAAGGGUGCGUAGGGGGACUGUUAAGUCAGCGGUAAAAGGCCGGGGCUCAACCCCGGCGAGCCGUUGAUACUGGCUGUCUUGAGAUGUCGUGAGGUAUGCGGAAUGCGUGGUGUAGCGGUGAAAUGCUUAGAUAUCGCGCAGAACUCCGAUUGCGAAGGCAGCAUACCGGCGGCGAUCUGACGCUGAGGCACGAAAGCGUGGGUAUCGAACAGGAUUAGAUACCCCAGUAGUC